AUUGAAUGCUGGCGGCAUGCCUUACACAUGCAAGUCGAACGGUAACAGGUCUUCGGAUGCUGACGAGUGGCGAACGGGUGAGUAAUGCAUCGGAACGUGCCCAGUAGUGGGGGAUAGCCCGGCGAAAGCCGGAUUAAUACCGCAUACGACCUAAGGGUGAAAGGGGGGGAUCGCAAGACCUCUCGCUAUUGGAGCGGCCGAUGUCAGAUUAGCUAGUUGGUGGGGGAAAGGCCUACCAAGGCAACGAUCUGUAGUUGGUCUGAGAGGACGAACAGCCACACUGGGACUGAGACACGGCCCAGACUCCUACGGGAGGCAGCAGUGGGGAAUUUUGGACAAUGGGCGCAAGCCUGAUCCAGCAAUGCCGCGUGCAGGAAGAAGGCCUUCGGGUUGUAAACUGCUUUUGUCAGGGAAGAAAUCUUCUGGGUUAAUACCUCGGGAGGAUGACGGUACCUGAAGAAUAAGCACCGGCUAACUACGUGCCAGCAGCCGCCGUAA
rnacentral:rRNA from 1 species